CAAAGACCACCCCAAAUAAUGUAUAGAAAGAGAGAACCAACAACAAUAUUGACUUAGUUUCUCUCUGAACCUCUAAUGCAAGAUAUUCCAUGAGUUGUUGCGUGUUGCAGUCAAUCCAUGAAACAAUAAUAGCAUAUUCUUUACAUACGAUUACACCUCCCAUUUCCGAACUCUGCUAACAAUCAGAUCAUAUAUAUAAAAUACUUGAGCUACUAAUCCGUAUAACAGAACAAACUGAGAAGAAGCAUAGAUCACCCAAAAUAAUGUAAAAAAAAGGUAACAACCAACAAUGUUGACAUACUUUCUAUUUGAACCUCCAAUGAGAGAUCUUUCAUGAUUUGUUGCAUGUCAUAGCCAAUCCAUGAAAUAAUAAUAUCAUAUUUGUUACAUGAAGGUACAACUUCCUUUUUCGAACGCAGCUAACAAUAAUACCAUAGAUAAAAAUACUUGAGCUACUAAUCUGUAUAAUAGAACAAAUUGAGAAGAAGCGAAGAUCACCCAAAAUAAUGUAUGAAAAGAGAGAAUCAUUAACAAUAUUGACUUACUUUCUCUUGGAACCUCCAUUGCAAGAUCUUCCAUGAUUUGUUUAUCUGCAUAAAAU
rnacentral:lncRNA from 1 species